rnacentral:rRNA from 1 species
GAUGAACGCUGGCGGCGUGCCUAAUACAUGCAAGUCGAGCGAAUGGAUUAAGAGCUUGCUCUUAUGAAGUUAGCGGCGGACGGGUGAGUAACACGUGGGUAACCUGCCCAUAAGACUGGGAUAACUCCGGGAAACCGGGGCUAAUACCGGAUAACAUUUUGAACCGCAUGGUUCGAAAUUGAAAGUAGGCUUCGGCUGUCACUUAUGGAUGGACCCGCGGCGCAUUAGCUAGUUGGUGAGGUAACGGAUCACCAAGGCAACGAUGCGUAGCCGCACUGAGACGGUGAUCGGCCACACUGGGACUGAGACACGGACCAGACGCCUACGGGAGGCAGCAGUAGGGAAUCCACCGCAAUGGAAGAAAGUCUGACGGAGCAACGCCGCGUGAGUGAUGAAGGCUUUCGGGUCGUAAAACUCUGUUGUUAGGGAAGAACAAGUGCUAGUUGAAUAAGCUGGCACCUUGACGGUACCUAACCAGAAAGCCACGGCUAACUACGUGCCAGCCGCCGCCGUAA